UGUGUAUAUGUGUGCGAUACUGAAUUCAGU
rnacentral:piRNA from 1 species